GAGAGAAAGAGAGAGAGAGAGAGAAGCUUUGAGGGUGUGAGGCAAAGAGAGGAAAUAGUUAUUAGUUCAAGUUUCAUUGUCUCUUCUCCAGUUCUUGUUGACCUGGCCAUGGGAUCAUCAUCUGAUGAACACCUCAGCAUUGGCAUAACUUAAGGAGAAGUUAACUUUGAAGAAGUCAGCAUUGGCAUAACUUGAGGAGAAGAUGCAUAAAAUUUGAAUUGGGACAAAAUAUUCUCAUUGUGAUGUGAAAAACAGGUCCCUGAGAGAUGUGAGCAGGAAGGAUGCAUCUAAAUAUCAAGUGUUGUGGCUGACCCAUCAUGUCCUGGCAAGGGAAACUGGGCAGAUUCUAUGGAGCACCAAGUUAGGAAUGUUCCUUUCUGAGCUUUAUGGACUACAGCCAGUCCAGCCAGAAGGAUCUGUGUGGGAAAGGAAUUCUUGCUGCCGACAGUGGACAUGGUUGGUAGGAUACUUAGGUCACUGGACAUGGCUUGCACAGACCUUGUUGCAGCUGAAAGAUCCUGGGACAUGUGACAUGCAGCCAAAAGAAGAUCCUUCCAGAAUUCAGAAACUCUCAAAAUGCCCCUUAUUUAAUACCUGAUUACUUGAAUCAUCGGUCUAACUUUGAGAAUAUACCUAUAUCAUACAUCCUGAAACGAGUUUGACCUAACUCAUCUAUUGUCAAGACUAAGUUAGUGGAUCGAUGAGACAAGACAACCUACCAGCUCAACUUAUAAUAUGUGAAACUCCCACAGAAGUUCCAGAUGAGGGGGCUAAGGGGCUCAGACCCCCUCACCCUCUGAAUGUGGAAUUUUGACAUGUGGAUUAUUUUGAACUAAAGGCACUUGAGACCCUGUGGAUUCAAGAGAAACUUUGUCUCUCAUCUAACUACACAGAAGAAUCCACACCGGAGGUCUUUCACAGAUAAGGGUUAUUAACAGAGAUAAAUUUUAUCUGAGUGACCCAUCUGUAUGGCAGGGCAAACAUCUAAUUACCAAACAUCUGCUCUUCUUCUCACUCUGUGAAAUGCAUUCCUUUCCUCUGAGGUCCCAAAUCCCUACCUCGUUCUGCUUAGUUCAGAAUGAUAUAUAUAUCCCUGCCUGCCUGUCUCUGGCAUUCCAUGUCUGUGUGGAUUCCCAGUAUGUAUGCCUAUUACAUUUUAUUUUCCUCUUGUUAGUGUAUCUCCUGUCAAUUUGAUUCUUAGUCCAGCCAUAAGGACCUGUAAGGGGGCAGGGAUUCUGGCUCUCUGAAUCCUGAUCCUGACUUUUUACCACAACUGUGCUCUUCAGUAUUGCAAAUCAAAUGCUUAUUACUUCCUUUUAACAGGCUAGGGAUUUAUUUUAUUUUAUUUUUUUCAGGCUAGGGAU